GAUAUUACUACUUUAGCCCUGAUUGGUUCUCAGUUAUUUGUGUGUUAUCAUGUAUGUAUUUAAUUGAGCAGCUACUACGUGCAAGGAGCUGUGAGAAAUGAACAUGAGGCCAAGAUAUUGACCUUGCCUUCAAGGAAUUUACAGUCUUGUCAGAGAGAUAAUCCAUACCCACAAACACCAUAAAAAGUAGACAGAAUUAAGGAGUAUGAGAGCUACACAGAGAACAUGAUGGGAAUUCAAAGAAAGUACUACUCCUUUUUUGCAGUGAAGGGUCUAGAGUGGCUCUGAGGUUCAUUUUGUACAUGAAGAGAUGAGAAAGGACAAUCUACGUGGAAGAUACAGAAGAAACACAAAAACAAACAAAAG
rnacentral:sRNA from 1 species